ACCUGUAUAUCUAAGAUUAAGAGCUGGAUUCUUACUUCAGUAAUGUGUUUUCACUAUAGGUU
rnacentral:tRNA from 1 species